rnacentral:rRNA from 1 species
GAUGAACGCUGGCGGCGUGCCUAAUACAUGCAAGUCGAACGAGAUAGUUUACUAUCUAGUGGCGAACGGGUGAGUAAUACAUAAGUAACCUACCUUUAACAGGGGGAUAACUAUUGGAAACGAUAGCUAAUACCGCAUAGGUGUAGAAUCCGCAUGGAAGCUACAUUAAAGGUGCUACGGCAUUGGUAAGAGAUGGACUUAUGGCGCAUUAGCUAGUUGGUAGGGUAACGGCCUACCAAGGCGACGAUGCGUAGCCGACCUGAGAGGGUGACCGGCCACACUGGGACUGAGACACGGCCCAGACUCCUACGGGAGGCAGCAGUAGGGAAUUUUCGGCAAUGGGCGAAAGCCUGACCGAGCAACGCCGCGUGAAGGAAGAAGGUCUUCGGAUUGUAAACUUCUGUUAUAAAGGAAGAAAGAGUACUGGAGGGAAUGCCAGUACAGUGACGGUACUUUAUGAGAAAGCCACGGCUAACUACGUGCCAGCCGCCGCCGUAACAC